rnacentral:rRNA from 1 species
AAGGGUUUGGCUGUUCGCCAAUGAAAGUGGUACGUGAGCUGGGUUCAGACCGUCGUGAGACAGGUCGGUCCCUAUCUGCUGUGGGCGCACGAAACUUGCGGAGAAUCUUCCUUAGUACGAGAGGAUUGGGAAGGACGUUCCUCUGGUGUCCCAGUUGUCGCGCUAGCGGCACGGCUGGAUAGCUAUGAACGGAACGGAUAAACGCUGAAAGCAUAUAAGCGUGAAGCCCGCUCCAAGAUCAGGUUUCGUAGGACAAUAGUCCGAAAGUCCCCUGGAAGACGACCAGGUCGAUAGGCCGGAUGUGUACGUGCAGCAAUGCACUCAGCUAACCGGUACUAACGGACGAACGCUUGACCAC